UACGUAGGGUGCAAGCGUUAAUCGGAAUUACUGGGCGUAAAGCGCGCGCAGGCGGAUUCGCGCAUCAUCGGUGAAAGCCCCCGGCUCAACUGGGGAGGGUCAUUCGAUACUGAUCGACUCGAAGGCAGGAGAGGGUAGUGGAAUUCCCGGUGUAGUGGUGAAAUGCGUAGAUAUCGGGGGGAAUACCAGUGGCGAAAGCGGCACCCUAGCGUUAGCCUGACGCUCAUGUGCGAAAGCGUGGGGAGCGAACGGG
rnacentral:rRNA from 1 species